GGAGACGCUCUCCAUGCCUCUCACGCGCCCCCGCAUCCAUGGGUCGCCAGCGCGGCUCCGCUCCUCAUCUGGUGUGAUUGAUCGGCGUCUCCGCAUGCGCCGCAGCUGAAUUGGACGCCGACGGUUCUACUGCGCCUCGGCUACAUCGACUUCGAUGCCGAUGGUUCGGUAAUGGAUGCCCAUUGGAUGUUGAUGUCAUAUAGGAAAGAGGGAAGCACCCCAAUGCAUUGCAGGGUGCUGUUCAAAGAAGUAGGUAGCUUGCAUGAAUUCUUCUUGCGGGAAUUGUGCAGAACUGCAAAAUCCAGGACAAUUUGGUCUCCCCAUAACCACUUUGGUGUCCUGUUAUGGAACAAGUUAUACACCACUCUGCUAGCUUAGUAACUAGAAAACCCCGACAAGAUCCUCUGUAUGAUAUCUCAAAUUUGGAUCCAAGCUCAAGAAGGAAUACAGGUAGAGCUACUGUUGACUUCCUCUAUAUAUAUAUAUAUAUGUAUUGCAGGAACGUUAGUACUGUUGAUAUUUGAAUUUUGUUAUAUUAACAAAAAUAGUUCAAACUAUUUGUAUGGGAUGUCCAACAGUGCAAACGAUGUGUAUGACCUAUGUAUAUCUCUAGAGUUUGAUUGCAAAAUAUGCAGAUAUAGUCAAGUGAUAUGGGUGUAUCUUGAACGUGGUUUAUGGAAGAAAAUAAUUUCUAUGGAAGCAUUCUAUAUUUUUUAUAUAGAUAUUAUGAAAUACAACCUUUUCAAGUACAUUUUUACAGAUAAUUCCAUUUAGCAUGGAUGAACAUCAAUUUUUCAAUGGCGCGAAAACUAUUGUAUAUUGUUAUUAGUGGGAUAUCUUUUAGUCUUCACUCUUGUAAUAGGCCUACUCGAGACUUCAUGUACGUCAACUUGCAUGUCUACAAUAGCCAAAGGUGAAAUCACUUCUGUCAUCACCUCUUCACAGAACAUGUUUUCAUUGUAUUCUCAUCGCAUUUUUGAUUUUCAGAGAUGUAGAAAUGGUGAUCGUUUAUUACAUCUUCAAAUUCUGGAAAAUAUAUAAGCACAAUCCAACUCCCCGUUGGCUGAGAGAAAAUCUGUUUGUUACAGUGAUCACCCGGAUAAUUGAAUGGUGCAUGGCCAAGUUGUUGUGGAGAAUGGGGGCUAAUUUGUUGAUUGCAAGGUGGGGAAUGGGGGCCAAGUUGUUGAUUGCAAGGUGGAGAAUGGGGCUACUACCAAAUAGUUUUACAUUCACAUUGUAGAACAUGACUUUCAUGGUCAAUGCAUAGGAAUCAUUGGAUUGUGUUCCAUGUAAUGCAACCUACAUGAUUUAAUAAAGAGAUCUUUCUGUUUA